rnacentral:rRNA from 1 species
AGAGUUUGAUCCUGGCUCAGGAUGAACGCUGGCGAGAUGCUUUACACAUGCAAGUCGUACGAGAGUUUUUAACUCAAGUGGCGGACGGGUGAGUAACACGUAAGAAUUUGCCUUUAGGAGGGGGAUAACAACUGGAAACGGUUGCUAAUACCCCAUAUGCUUUCGAGUGAAAUGGAUUUUUCCGCCUAGAGAGAAGCUUGCGGCUGAUUAGCUUGUUGGUGAGGUAAUGGCUUACCAAGGCGACGAUCAGUAUCUGGUUUGAGAGGAUGAUCAGACACACUGGAACUGAGACACGGUCCAGACUCCUACGGGAGGCAGCAGUGGGGAAUUUUCCGCAAUGGGCGAAAGCCUGACGGAGCAAUCUCGCGUGAGGGAUGACGGCCUAUGGGUUGUAAACCUCUUUUUUCAGGGAGGAAUAAAUGACGUGUACCUGAAGAAUAAGCAUCGGCUAACUCCGUGCCAGCAGCCGCGGUAAGACGGAGGAUGCAAGUGUUAUCCGGAAUCACUGGGCGUAAAGCGUCUGUAGGUGGUUUAAUAAGUCAACUGUUAAAUCUUGAAGCUCAACUUCAAAAUCGCAGUCGAAACUAUUAGACUAGAGUAUAGUAGGGUAAAGGGAAUUUCCAGUGGAGCGGUGAAAUGCGUAGAGACUGGAAAGAACACCGAUGGCGAAGGCACUUUACUGGGCUAUUUACUAACACUGAGAGACGAAAGCUAGGGUAGCAAAUGGGAUUAGAUACCCAGUAGUCCUAGCCCGUAAACAUGGAUACUAGAUGUUGAACAGAUCGACUGUGCAGUAAUAAAGCUACGCGUAGUAUCCCGCUGGCAGUAUGCUCGCAGAUGAAACUCAGGAAGUGACCGAGCCGCACAGCGUGAAGCAUGUGGU